UACGGAGGGUGCAAGCGUUGUUCGGAAUUACUGGGCGUAAAGCGCGUGUAGGCGGUCAGGUAAGUCAGAUGUGAAAGCCUUCCGCUUAACGGAAGAAGGGCAUUUGAAACUACCUGGCUGGAGUACGGGAGAGGAGAGUGGAAUUCCCGGUGUAGAGGUGAAAUUCGUAGAUAUCGGGAGGAACACCAGUGGCGAUGGCGGCUCUCUGGCCCUAUACUGACGCUGAGACGCGAAAGCGUGGGGAG
rnacentral:rRNA from 1 species